CUGUGAGGCAUGCUGGAGGUAUCAGAAGUGCGAAUGCUGACAUAAGUAACGAUAAAGCGGGUGAAAAGCCCGCUCGCCGGAAGACCAAGGGUUCCUGUCCAACGUUAAUCGGGGCAGGGUGAGUCGACCCCUAAGGCGAGGCCGAAAGGCGUAGUCGAUGGGAAACAGGUUAAUAUUCCUGUACUUGGUGUUACUGCGAAGGGGGGACGGAGAAGGCUAUGUUGGCCGGGCGACGGUUGUCCCGGUUUAAGCGUGUAGGCUGGUUUUCCAGGCAAAUCCGGAAAAUCAAGGCUGAGGCGUGAUGACGAGGCACUACGGUGCUGAAGCAACAAAUGCCCUGCUUCCAGGAAAAGCCUCUAAGCAUCAGGUAACAUCAAAUCGUACCCCAAACCGACACAGGUGGUCAGGUAGAGAAUACCAAGGCGCUUGAGAGAACUCGGGUGAAGGAACUAGGCAAAAUGGUGCCGUAACUUCGGGAGAAGGCACGCUGAUAUGUAGGUGAAGCGACUUGCUCGUGGAGCUGAAAUCAGUCGAAGAUACCAGCUGGCUGCAACUGUUUAUUAAAAACACAGCACUGUGCAAACACGAAAGUGGACGUAUACGGUGUGACGCCUGCCCGGUGCCGGAAGGUUAAUUGAUGGGGUUAGCGGUAACGCGAAGCUCUUGAUCGAAGCCCCGGUAAACGGCGGCCGUAACUAUAACGGUCCUAAGGUAGCGAAAUUCCUUGUCGGGUAAGUUCCGACCUGCACGAAUGGCGUAAUGAUGGCCAGGCUGUCUCCACCCGAGACUCAGUGAAAUUGAACUCGCUGUGAAGAUGCAGUGUACCCGCGGCAAGACGGAAAGACCCCGUGAACCUUUACUAUAGCUUGACACUGAACAUUGAGCCUUGAUGUGUAGGAUAGGUGGGAGGCUUUGAAGUGUGGACGCCAGUCUGCAUGGAGCCGACCUUGAAAUACCACCCUUUAAUGUUUGAUGUUCUAACGUUGGCCCCUAAUCGGGGUUGCGGACAGUGUCUGGUGGGUAGUUUGACUGGGGCGGUCUCCUCCUAAAGAGUAACGGAGGAGCACGAAGGUUGGCUAAUCCUGGUCGGACAUCAGGAGGUUAGUGCAAUGGCAUAAGCCAGCUUGACUGCGAGCGUGACGGCGCGAGCAGGUGCGAAAGCAGGUCAUAGUGAUCCGGUGGUUCUGAAUGGAAGGGCCAUCGCUCAACGGAUAAAAGGUACUCCGGGGAUAACAGGCUGAUACCGCCCAAGAGUUCAUAUCGACGGCGGUGUUUGGCACCUCGAUGUCGGCUCAUCACAUCCUGGGGCUGAAGUAGGUCCCAAGGGUAUGGCUGUUCGCCAUUUAAAGUGGUACGCGAGCUGGGUUUAGAACGUCGUGAGACAGUUCGGUCCCUAUCUGCCGUGGGCGCUGGAGAACUGAGGGGGGCUGCUCCUAGUACGAGAGGACCGGAGUGGACGCAUCACUGGUGUUCGGGUUGUCAUGCCAAUGGCACUGCCCGGUAGCUAAAUGCGGAAGAGAUAAGUGCUGAAAGCAUCUAAGCACGAAACUUGCCCCG
rnacentral:rRNA from 1 species